rnacentral:lncRNA from 1 species
UGCCAUAGCAAAAAAGGGUCCAGAUUUGCUUUUUUUAAUAAACUAUUAGGAAAAUAGAGACUGCAAGGAGAUUGGGAUGACUUUUUGAGUCGCAGUGAACAGGACUUUUGAUCACGAAUCUACACUCGAAAUUUGGUGAUUUAAAAUUCUAAAGUGCGCACACACACAAAAACAAAAAUCCUAGGGAGAUGAAAGGACUGGAUAUUUGUGAAAAGACCAACUUUUCUGUAUCUU